rnacentral:lncRNA from 1 species
UUCAAAGAGUAGAGUAUGCAAGCAGUACAAACAAAUCUAAGAAAGAACAUACUAGGAAUUUGAUGCCUGUUCAUACACUUUUAGCUUAAAGAACCUAUCAUUUAUUCACAAUCUACUUAAGUCACAUCAAAAACAAAUUAUUCUUGCUCAUGAUUUCACAAAAUCCAAACACGCAACGCAUCCUCAGAAUGAGAAGAAGCACUACACUUUCCCUAUUGACAUGCUUUUCUAUUGAAGAGUUCAUCAAGUCACGAGCUGAAGAUGAGAGAACCAAGAACUCAGGUUAAACAUAGAGGGAAUGAAUCUACAUAUAUGAGAAUAUCAUGUAUAUAUAAUGGAGAUCGUGUGAUUAAAUAGUAAAUAGACAUUCUUUCAGGAAAUCUCUCUCAAAGAAAAAACUCCCGCUUAUUUUUGCAAGAGUAAUUUAACUGAUAACAAAUCAUAUUUUGAGAUGAACAGAGCAUUGCCAUUCUUACAUAUUUCUCAAGUCAAAUACUAAUAUUUUAUCAGAGAAUUGACUGUAUUCUCUCAGCGUAACUGAGAAGAAAAAUAAUGUAUUAUAUUUAUAUUCUUUAUAACCAUGAAGAAAGUGAAAGGAAGAGCCCUACAACUUUCUCAUUAUCAUCCAAAAAAGUCAUGAAGAUACUGUUAUUUGAUUUUAGUUAUUUCUAGACAAUGUAAAUAACUGUGAGAUCUAUCCUACAGUAUUGUCGUAGAUCAUACAGACAAAGCUUUGAUACAGGGGAGGAUCUAAAGGUGUGAGUAUGGUUCCUGGGAACCCAGUAGCUUUUGGCUAGAUCCCGUAUUUGUAUUAAGAAAAUCAUUCAAUGUAUAAGAAUAUUUAGUUGGGAACCCAGUUCUUUAAUCUGGUUAUUAUAAUAUAUUAAUUUAAAAUCAAUGUAGGAACCCAUAAACUAAAAAUCCUAGAUCCGCCUCUGCUUUGAUAUAAGUAGGUCAAAAAAAAUUAUCAGUAAAAAUAUCACUGAAAUGAAGCAGAACGAUAAAGCGGAUGUUACACUCUAACCUAUUAGACUUUAGAACCAACUGUAUUGCAGCAUUUGGCGAAAACACCAUGAGUAAAUGGCUAAAUGCCCUAUGAAAUCUGCUCCGUUCCUCUUCAACUGUGACCUAAAAAUCAAUUUUUAAAAUAAAAAAUUCAAUCUGAAGUAGAUAUAUGCUAGAGUUUGAAAAGCUCUGAUUUGCACCUAUUUUAAUCCGCACGGAAAUGUGUUUAAAAUGGAUAUAUACUAUCAAUAAAGCACUAAAGAUCCAUCAAAACAUUAAAACAAAUUAUUGAUUAGAACAAAUUAUUGUCUUUCUCAUACCAUCAGUAAGUACCACAUCAAUGGCACUGCCAAAAUAUUAUCAUCAUACACUCUCUACCUCAAUUAUGAAAGUGAAAGUUCAUGAUCCGUUAGAUCUUCAACUCUAUACAACAAUUUUAAAAUAAACAGUAUUCCAAAUGUCAUAAAUCCUAUAGAUGCUCAACAAAAGAGUACAAGUCCACAUGCCUCCGAAGAUAUGAGUGACUUGUAAUAAAAUUAAUAGAUCCAGCAAAUUAUCAAACACAUAAGACAUGAUAUGUUUGUCGAUUACACACUUAUUACCCAUUCAACACAACACACAUGUAUAAUUCUGAAGCUCAGAAUAACAAAAUUGCAAUAGUAAUCCAAUGGCAUAAGGUAGCCCGAUGCACAAAGCAUCACCUGUUGUUCAUGCAGAAUCAUCAUAUAUCAUAUUUGUAGUGUUCUUCUUGGAAGUGAGUCGAAUUCAUACUGUACUCUUACCAAGUGAUAAAUUUAUUAAAUAUAAAUAAAUUUAUUGUAAUAACAGAGCUCUUUUUAGAAUAUUUAUAGAUUUACCAAGGAAUAGGGGAGGUUACAACUGCCACUAAAUAAACAAACCAAGGGGGUUAAAGCUGCCUCGAAAUAGAAUUUGCCAUAUUUUCAAGAUAUAUUGUGGAGGUUGAAACCGCCGCAAAAUAAUUGUGUAGUGGAGAUUUCAACCCCCGUUGUAUAUUUUUUUACAAGUUGCUACAUUGAUUAAAAUUUUAAUUUGUAGGGGUUAAACCGCCGGAAAAUAACCUAUGUUAAAUGAUUACGGCGGGCUGUAAAAAAUUGCCACAAUAAAUGAUAGCAGCGAACCUUACAUCUUUGGGGUUUGAAGACCGCCGUGAUAUCAAUUAAUGGGGUUGCUGACCGCCGUAAAACGUGAAAAUACCCUCCUAGGAUAUUUCUUUGUAGUGAAAAAAUAGAGUGGAAAGCCAGAGAAGAUAUUUUUCCUUCUUCAUAUUGGUUGCCACCUGCACUUGGUUAUCUCUUAAUCUAAAUGAUUCAGAGCAGACCGCAAAGGAGAAACAUCCAAUCGAUGCUCCUAUUGUUCAGUCACAGAUGAUAUCUCAUAGUGAUUUACCGGUUUCUGAAAGAGCAGAAGAAAUUGAAGAACGGCCAAAGAAGCAAAAUACAAAGAGAAGCAGAAAUGUGAUAUGCUACGUGGUCGUUCCCAGUUGCACAAUGAAAAACACGUAAUGUAGAUAAUUGAAAAAUCUAAUAUGCCCUCGAUCUAAAAACGAUUGACGUGAAACAGACACGUCG